CCCCUUCCCCUCUUCCGCUCUCCUCCUCAUGAUUCCUCCGCAUAGACGAGACUACCGCUCGCCUAGUGCCCGAACUGGAGUAGCUGAUUUGUGCUCGUGGUGGUGGUGCUUGACUUCUUGUGCAUUUGUCUCUCUUUUCCGGAAGUAGGAAUUUCCUUUCCGUCUUUUCAGGUUCGGUUCAAAUACGUGCUUGAUUGUGAUUUGUGAAGGGAUGGGGGUGAUUGGCACGGACCAGCGAGCGGGUGAUCUUUUGGAUUAGCUGCUUGCACACAGAACAAUCACCGUAUGUUGGGGUCGAAAUUGCUAUCACAGCAAUAAUUUAUGGAUAACUCCUCGGCUAGGUGGUGAUUUAGCUCCAGUGCUUACUGUAUCUGUUCUGUAUAUAACGACCUGGCAAUCAGAUAAUGCAAUUCUAUCAGUCCACAUGCUGACAUAUAUCACUUCGAGUAAUCUGAUAAUUAUACUCUAGAUAGGGUAAUGUGCUAUGCUGCUACAAUUUGGCAAUGUGUGAAUUGACAGGGUUGUGAUGUUGAUGCCACACAAAAGCAGUCAUUGCGAACUAGCAUGGCGAAAUGGGGUAGGGACAGUAAUAUGGAAGCACACAUCUGAAACCAGCACAUCUCUAUUUGAUAAUAAUCCAAACUAAAACCAACCUUGAUCUGACUUGUUCCCAGUAACCCAAAGUUGCUCUGGGAUUUAGUAUUAUGGUGCAGGCCAUCAAUACUCCAUCGACACGUUAAACACACGGCAUCACAUCUGAUUUUCACUACUUGUGUUUUGCAUCCUCGAUGGGCUGUUCUGGUCUUCUGGAUAGAGUUCAGGUUAUGUCAGAUGAUAUCGUCGCUUAUGGCUACAAUACAUGCAAACGGAUGUUAGGGAUAUGGGUAAAUUCUUUGAUGAAUCAUUUGAUUGUGCCCCCGUCCCGCUCGCACAGUUCAACGACACCCAGCUCCUCUCCGAUUACAACUUGCUGGAGGAGACGAGCCUAGUGAGGGAGUUGGCCCACAGGCUGCUCGGCGACUUCGGCGGCAACUUUGGCCGGAACUUCGAGGGAUGCUCGGGUGCCAAGCUGCCGCCGUCGCUCGUCGCCCUCUGCAAGGCCGCGGAGCGCUGAAGCGUCCGGCUCUUCUUCCUCCCCCGCGGCAUGACCAGGAGGGCGCAGAACCGCUCAUGGCACGACAACAGAAAUGACUGCAUAUACUGGACAAUCGAGUCGAAGUUCAAUUCGACAGAUAUUGUCCUAACUGACCACCAGUGGCAAUGGCAAGAGCAUAUUGUGCAGAGGAAGAGGAUGAGAAGAAACUUGUGGUUCUCAUCCAAUCUUUGUGGAACUCUCUUUAUGUGCGACUGUGCAUUUGUUGGGUCCUUUUUCUGUGCACUUGCACUUGUAGAAGUAUCCUGUUGUGUACAUGUAAAAUUAUUUUGAUGUGCCCUUGUUAGGCGUUGAACCUUAAUGCGUGGAAUCGGUGAAUGAUGUAUUUUAUUUGAUGUGAUAUGCUACUGAAAUGAAAUAUACAAUUUAUUUGCAA